UAGAAGUGAAAUUAUAACUCUUUCUCCUAUUUUUGUGAUAGCAUGAGUUUCACUCCUCACUCCACUAGUCCCUAUUAGUUAGGAAAGUAGUUAUUAUAUGAGUAUUAGGUUCUCUCAUUUAAUCAUUCAUAAUUCACGCUCUUAGAAAAACAAAAGAAAAGAUUUAGAGAGAAAACACAAAGAGAGUUAUUAGAAAGAAAAAGGUGAAUCAAGAAAAAGAUUAAAUAGUAGGAGUCUACACUUAAGCCAACACCACAAGUGUAUACUUAGCGAAGCAAAGACCACUGUGUGAAUUAAGAGUUGUCGCUAUUAAGGUUACUAAAUCAGUAGAUCGGAGUUGCGCAGCAGAAACGUGGUGACAUGUAGUUGAGGCUCCGAAAUUCGUGGACAUCGGUGCUAGUCUUGUCGAGAGAGAUUCUCACAAGCAUCCGGAGUUAUGACCAGCUAUAGAUUGAGUGUUUGGGUAGUAAAAGGCCAAUAGUCUUGGUUUAGAAAUUUA